rnacentral:rRNA from 1 species
GAGCGGCGGACGGGUGAGUAACGCGUGGGUAACCUGCCCUGUACACACGGAUAACAUACCGAAAGGUAUGCUAAUACGGGAUAACAUAAGAAAGUCACAUGGCUUUCUUAUCAAAGCUCCGGCGGUACAGGAUGGACCCGCGUCUGAUUAGCUAGUUGGUAAGGUAACGGCUUACCAAGGCGACGAUCAGUAGCCGACCUGAGAGGGUGAUCGGCCACAUUGGAACUGAGACACGGUCCAAACUCCUACGGGAGGCAGCAGUGGGGAAUAUUGCACAAUGGGCGAAAGCCUGAUGCAGCAACGCCGCGUGAGCGAUGAAGGCCUUCGGGUCGUAAAGCUCUGUCCUCAAGGAAGAUAAUGACGGUACUUGAGGAGGAAGCCCCGGCUAACUACGUGCCAGCAGCCGCGGUAAUACGUAGGGGGCUAGCGUUAUCCGGAAUUACUGGGCGUAAAGGGUGCGUAGGCGGUCUUUCAAGCCAGAAGUGAAAGGCUACGGCUCAACCGUAGUAAGCUUUUGGAACCGUAGGACUUGAGUGCAGGAGAGGAGAGUAGAAUUCCUAGUGUAGCGGUGAAAUGCGUAGAUAUUAGGAGGAAUACCAGUAGCGAAGGCGGCUCUCUGGACUGUAACUGACGCUGAGGCACGAAAGCGUGGGGAGCAAACAGGAUUAGAUACCCUGGUAGUCCACGCCGUAAACGAUG